ACCCCGACUUGGAAAUAAAAGGCAAGUUGGAACGGAGCGCCGCCGUUAUCGGAUCGGGAGGGGGGGAUUAUUCGUAUCAGGAAGUUCGUUAGGGGCUGAUACGACGUCGAAUCCUUUUUCACGCCGGCCCGCUAAUUGAACUAGUUUGGCAAGGUGUCUCGUUCCGGACUUUAGUAGUCCGAUACCGUUACAGGGACGUGUAAUGGCCGAACUGGCCGCUAUUCCAAUCGUCAUAAAUUGUCGCGGGGAACGUGACGAUCGUACUGAGUAGCCAAUAGAUGCGCUCUCUCGCCUGUCAUUUGACCCCUGCAGCUUCUCCCGGCGUUUCGCGCCCCGGCUAUACACGCCCGGUGGCUUUGUCUACCGAUUCGCAUACGCCAACGGAUUUAUCAGCACAGGAAGAUCGCGUUCGAUACAACGAAACGACCCCCGCCUCUACUUCUUCACAAUGUUGAUACGAUUCGAGACGAAGGAGUGGUUUAUUUUAAAAGACGCUAUCACGUACAAGAAGAAUUGGAGGCUUUUCUCUUAGCUUCGCAGUUGAAUCGGCGCUAUACAUAUGAUGUGGUACUAUAAUACGUACGUUCCCGCAAGAAGAUGACUCCCAAGACUUCCGGCGCUGGAAUAUUAGCUUCUUCUGAGGAACGUAACGGAACGCGAAGCAUUUCGGGCUCACAAUGAGAGGCGGACGUAGACACGAGACGCGAUAUACGCCGGGAAUGGAACACACCGCGGAGAUUGUACUAAUUAAGUCCCACCUCUCCUAUUAAUUGCCAACGUUCCAGCCUUGUCAAUGCUCGCCGUUCGUCGCUAUGGCUGCGGACACCAGCCGUUCAUCGCUGCGGCUGCGGCCGCCAGUCAUGUAGUUAACAGAAUUUCGAUAUCGACAUGCUCCACUUACGUAACUACUUGCUUCUCGAUGCUAGAUCAAGAGUUGUCCCAACUUCGAUACCAACCGCCGCUACUCGCUAAUAACAAUAACAAAUCUGGUUCAGUCCUGUUCUGAUAACCGGCGGCGACAACCGCAGUUGGCAGAAAUGUCGAAGCUGGUCCGGAUGUUUUUGCUACGGAAGGAGGCGGUGGACAAUUCUUUGACCAACCUGAGCCCUAAUGAACGCGAGUGGAGUUCAUAAGACAGUUGUCAUUACCGGGAUGAAACUUGCGAGUAUUCUUGGAAACGUUAAAGAGCCCCAGCCUAUCCUGUUUUUAAUUGAUCUCGCGCGGAAUUCUGGGGAAGCCGGUCGAGCGAUAUUGAAUCCGUGGAUAACUUUUCGCGGAGUUGGACCUCGUCUAUCCUGGCACGUCGUUAAGAAAGCCCAGAGGGAACGAACCGGUGGCACGAUUUUAUUGGACCGAUGGUCUAGCGCCGGGAAAAAGGGGUGUACGUGUUUACAUUGCCAAGAAGGAAAUUCGCAGCGAAAACACAUUGUCCUAGGAAAACAGGGUGAGGAAAUCCCGGGGCGAAACGAGUCUGUGCGCUUUAACGCGUCCUUGCGUUCGAAUAAUUCGCGGAUGCAAAUUAGUCCGGGUUUAAACGCGGGAGCCGAUAUGGAGCGAGCAAUUAUAAUCGCGAUAAUAACUUUUCUAAUUAAUUUCGGAAGUUUUAAUUCGACGUCCGAACUCAUAUCCUUGCCGCUGGCCGCAAUACAGGUCAAUUAUUCACCCACUUCCGGCGCCGACUGGCAAGUUCCAGUUUUAAUUCGGGCCGGGCAUAAUGGAAUCGUUGUUUCGAAACUUUUUAAUAGUUCUCGCCGUUCGUGUCCGCGGAGGACAUGUUGACGUCCGGAUCCGCCACUUUUGCCAUAAAUCCGUCGACUUUUACUGUCCGCUCACUUUUUAUAUCGCAUCGUGAAUCACCUCUUCGCUUUACUAAUUUUCCUCGCGGGACAUAUGAUUCAGAUGCACAGAGUUAUUCGUGGAGGAAUAAACGAUUUGUGCUUUUGAAAUUUUUCGACUACGCGCGACCAAUGGUUCUCGAGAUAUUCGAUCAAAUGGAUUUUCGAGUCGCUCAUCAGGGACGUGACAAAGUCGGGUGCAAGAGGGGAACUCGAGGAUCCGACUCGUCAAGAGAAACCGAAGAAGGGAAGGGGGACAGGUGGCGGUCGCCCAACUCGAAGGAACCCGAAAAGCUGACGUUUCGCUUACGUGCAGAAAUUGGCAAACGUAGGAUAUAUUCCUUGCAUCCAGAUGAAUUUGUCAAGUGGGGGGAGACGAAAAUCCGACAGACGAACCUGGUCGAACCACCUUCGCGUACGCUAUCUGCUACAAUCCACCAAUUAUUUAUAUGAAACCGAAACAAAGGUGGCGGACGAUGUGUCUACGCCAGCAGAAAAAUGGCGGACGUCGCCGCCAUAUUGGACCACGAGAAAACUCCAAGGAGAAAACGAUGUUUGGUAGUCUAAAGGAAUCGUAUUAUUUUUUCGGGAUUGGCGGAUUGAAUCAUCGACCUCGACAGGAUGUAUCAAAUCGAUUUAUCGAACUGGAAAAAAAUGAUGGGGGUGGUAAGCAGCUCACGGAGCGGCGCUUCGACACCGAUUGAAACUUGGCGUGUCCGUGCCGAAGGUGUUGAGUGCAUUUCUCGGGGCAUGACGUGAAUGGCCGAGCGGAGCCGAGUUUUAAAAUAAGACAAAGCCCGCCCCCCUGCCCACCCCCUCUGCACCUGGGGUUCUUCUCCUUUCGUUGUUUUCGCAGGGCGAUCACGCGCCACCGGCCGUCCAACUUCGCCGGCUAAUCAGAAAAAUCCACACUCCGGCGACCUUAUUGAAUUGUCUCUGACGACCGGUCGCUCCUCUGUGCCUCUGAUGACGGCCUAUUCGCAUGAGAGAAAUGGGGAGAAGGGGCAAUUCCUUUUGGUCUUAGUUUCUUCGUCUCGGGCGUGAGACUACCGCGAGGUUCUCCGUGGGAGACUUGGGACAAGGGUUGCCGGGUCUUGGGAAUGAAGCUGUAGGAGGAUUUGAUAUUGUGGAAGAUCUUGCGGCGAGUCUCUUCAGUUCAAAGAAAAAGUAACUAGCGACUUCAAUGGUUUCUGAAUUUUCGGGAACUGUUGUGCAAUCUAGGACAGCUACGAUGUCCACGGAUACCCGAUGAACGCCGGUGGAUCUCGAUUUUUCUCCAUUUACUCUUCCUCCGAUCCUUUCUUUAAUUCUUUCAAUUCUCUAGGAUUUGUCUUUAAAUCCCUGUCUUCGUUAGUUCCGCCUUUUCUUCGAUGUCAUCCUCAGUCUUCUCCCUAGAAUCUGAAGUCUCUGUCCCUUUAGUACCUGGGAAUUCCUAGUUCCUAGCCCCUAGGUUUCUAAUUUCUUCCCCGGAAGACGAUUUUCCACCACGUUGAAGAAGAAAAACCCUCUAAAACCACGGUCUGUAAUAGAAUUCCCCUAAUUACCAUCCGACAAUCGAAUAUUCAACAUCAAUCCAAUUAGCAAUUCAUUGUAAAGUUGUUUCAGGAGUACAAAAAUAUCCCUAAUCUGCCGCAACAGGUAGGAAAAAUUCGCAAAAAUUAGCAAAGAUUAGCUAGCUACUCGUUACAAGAAUUUUUCUCCUAUAUGACAACUAAAAAAGAUAAUGUAUUUCAGGUAUCCAGAAGAGGAGUAUGACGCAGACAGAAUAGUUUCAAUCCCGAAACGUUUCCAUACCCUGUCCGAUAAAUACGGGGCGACGUUGAACGUGUUACUAUAGCGCAUUAACGCGGAAAUAAAAUUUCUGCACGUGACGGGGCCGCUGUGGCAAUAUCGAAUGGGAUCGAUCGGUGCCGAUUCGGAGCCGUUCACCUGCGAAAACACACGGGAAAUUUGAGACCGCCGCAGCCGAUGCCGUGGAGGGAUUCCGAGAAUGACUCAAUGUUAUCGAAUUAAUUGCCACUGGAAUGCAAAGUCCGCUGGAACAAAUGCGAAUCCGAUAUCCGCGGGGAUCGCUUUGCGCUUUUCGAACACGCGGCCCGUUCGCGCCGAUAAAUAAUCAGAAUCGGCGGGAAGGUUGACGUCAUUUGUUCGCACGUUCUUCUAGGUUCCAAAAAUGAUUUUUCUAUCUAAUUGUCGUCAUCGGUUCAGGUAAAAUUUAACGCGAAUGGCCGUCCGAAAAUUCGAUCAAUGCAGGACCGUCUUUGCAACACAACGUGCGAAAGGAACAAUUACUCCGGCCUGGUCUCUCUUCCGCUACUUAAUCUCGAGCAGCCAUAGGACAAGCUAUGUUAUUUAAUUAAAUACUCGCCGAGCUAUGGCUAAUGAAGCAAGGAUGAAAUAUUUCCGGAUACAUUACAACGGAACGCCGGUGAUUCUCGCAGCCGUCGUUGCGCCCUAUCACGCGUAUUCCCGUCGGUUUAUCACACUGUGCCAUGCACCGCUGGAAAAUUCGAAUAAAAUAUAUCAGUCGGUUAAAUAAGCCACGAAAUUACAGGCAGCUCUGGCCGAACGUUGCAACGACAGCUUCUAUUAAAUGCCUCGUUGCAGAACAUUCUAGCAAGGACCUCAGAAACCGCGAAAUUAAUUUCAUUCUACAAAGAUCGGACCGCAACGCUGCACUCCUCCAUUUAUUCUCCACGCGGGGAGGCACGCGAAAGGAGAACCAAAAAGUAUAGCGAAGUUCUGCAAACAUUGCGAAACAACAUGCAAAGGAUUGCACAUCGAAAACUGUUCUCGUUUUUCGUUUUUUUGAGAAAAAUCGCCGAGUUGACAUUGGAGUAUCGUUCCAAAGCAAAUAGCAUUUUUAUUAUACCAGUUUUUUCGAGGACGCGAGUCAGCCAGGACGAAAAGAAAAUAUAUCUCGACACCACCCUCGCACGUUCUCCAACAAAAUGCAGAAGCUGCACCGCGAAAGCUCCACAAAUUUCCCAAGGAAAAAAUCGCAAAGAUAACACUGGAAUAUCCGCUAUAAGCAAAUAGUAUAUUACUAUAGUAUUUUUCCCGAGGACACCGGCGACCGAACACGAAAGAAAAAUACGCCUCCAUCUUCUCCGAACAUUGCGCAAGAAGACGCAAAAAAUCGCAGCUCGGAAGCUCCGCUUAUAACGGCAGAAAAAAAUCGCGAAGCUGCUCAUAAUGUGAUAGCCGCGCGGACACGGUCGUCCAACUGGUCAACGGGCAUCAAGGGGCGCAAAGGCGCUGGUUGGCGCGGGGCCAUCUAAUACACCAUUCCUCUUUACACCGACCUCGCAUCAUUGCUCUUUACAUUUUUUCCGUUUUCCCAUCCCGGCCCGGCCCCUUGUUAAACCCCGUGGACAUUCUUCGCAUUGGCGAUUCCUCGUCCACCGGAAGUCGAGGAGAGGACCCUGGAUCGGAAAAUCAGUAGCUCGCACCUGUCGACCCUCCGCGCGUCUUCCUCCGAUGCAUAUAUGCAUGCGUUAUGCAUAAUCCAGGCGCGUCGUGACCCCGGUCCACGUAGACCUGCUAGAAUGAAUCGCGUAACACGCCCCGCGUCUAGGGGAAUUCUAUCCGGUGCCCGCAAAGUGCUGUUUGCUGAUCGAUUCUGAUGGGAGCCGGCAACUUCGCCAACGGAACCUCGAAACUCACGGAAAAUUACGAAUUUCCACGUUUGCUCCGUUUCCUCCAUCGAACAAUUUCCUCUAAUACCGGCGAACAAAUAGAUGUCAAUUGUUCCGCGCCUGGAUAAUCGCUGGACUUGAGACUCUACGGGAUGGCGUACCAAGAAAAGUCUCUCCGGAUUAUUAUAAAACAAGGAACAACUCGGGAAAAAUCGUUCGACAGAUUUGUCGCGUUUAUUUGAUACAAUAUUCGCCAUGAAUAAAUUGUCCGACGUUAUUCGA